AACCUAACUCAAGAUUGAUAAAAUUAUAAUUCAACAAACAAUCCAGGAUCCAAUCACACAUUUGAGGUCACUAAGAAAAAUAUUCAAGUCAUUCACCUCUACAAUCCACAAUUCACAAAACCUGUGCAGUUUAUAAUCAUACAUCAUGUCACUAGAUGAUUCUUUAAAAUCCAAAAGCAACUUAACUAAACCAUAACUAUAUCAUAAAUCCAUAAGCGCGGUAAUUAAUGCAAUCACAAAACCAACAUGUACUACAUGUUUAUAUCAGUACACAGUUUAAACUUAACAUUUCCAAAAUCCUGAAGUAAGAGGUACUUUUCAAAUAUUUACAAGAUACAUCAAUCUAGAUUUGUCAUUGAUAUUCCAUUACACCCAAAAAGAACUUAUACAACAUCAACCUAUCAAGUACAAAAUAUUUGCCCCAAAAUCUUCUAGCCUUCCACUACCUCAACCCAAUUUACAUAUUUUAGUGAGCGAUAAGCUAUCAUGAAAAAUUUAUAUAGCAACGGGGUGAGCAUAUAAAGCUCAGCAAAUGACUAACAUAUCCAUAGCAAAG
rnacentral:lncRNA from 1 species